rnacentral:misc_RNA from 1 species
GGAUGGUGUCGUUGAUGUCGGCGUCCGGGAUCUGGGCAGUAGAGGCGGCUGGGGAGUGGAUCCGGGGGGUGGGACGGGCGGCGUUGGUUCCGGAUCUGAACUUACCGGCGGCGACGACCUCAUAGGUGCAGUUAUCGGCGGGGGCGAGGCGGAAGCGGCGGUAGUCGCGGUAGCGGCGCCAGGACUUCUCCUUGCGGUUGCGGAAGCGCCAGGCGGCGUCGCAGACGCCGGGGGAGGGACCGAAGACGGGGGUCGCGUAGCUGAGGAAGAUGAUUGAGCGGCGGAACCUGUGGGAGUUGAAGGUGAUGAUGGCGUCGAGGGCGCGGGGAUCCGAGCAGUUGAUCGGGGCGUCGGGAUCACAGGAUGAGGAGUUGAGGAGGAGGAGGGGGAGGGGGAGAGGGGAGAGGGGAGAGGAAGAAGGGGCGAGCAGGACGACAUCUUCGCCGGUGCGGAGGAGGGAGUCGUCGGGGCUGAAGGUGGAGUUGGUGAGGGUGGCGGAGAGUGAGGCGGUGAGGGCGCGGGAGGAGUCGAACCAGGGGUCGGGCGGGUGGUAGGUGACGGCGAUGACAGUGAAGACGAGGACGGAGAAGACGAAGAGGGAGAAGCAAACAUUGGAGACGAUUUUGAUGAGGUGUUGG